CGAGUCUAAAUGAUUUGUUUCAUUGCAAGUGGGCAUAGUUGUAUAUGCCUGGGUCCAAGCUACUCAGGAGAGUGAGGCAGGAUGAUCCCUUGAGCACAGUAGUUCAAAGCCAACCUGGGUGAAUCAUCCGCAAACAUCACAGAGGAUACUCACACAAAUGAGGACAAUAGCUCGGGCAAGAUGAUCUUAUGGGACCACUGCCCGAUACACAGCCCAUCACCGACCAGCACAGCCUUAUGCAGGGCAUGACAGUACAAGCAAAAGAAAAAUCAUUAAUAACCCUAUUUCAAAGCAGCAAAAGGUGCUUGCAGUUAUGUUUUAAAGCUGUCACACUUCACAAAGAAUUUGCAGCUGGAAAAGAAUCUUGAACAGACGAGCGAGCUUCAUAAGUGGAAGGAAAGCGGGGAGCAAUCAAGGUCUGGAAUCCUGUUCUGGGCCCACUUACUGGAGCAUCAGUGCACCUCUGGGGCACCACUGCUUGGAAGAACCAGGCAGAACCAUUGGGGGUUUCUUUCUUUACCCUGGGGUAUGGUUGGUAGCGAGAGGUAUCAUCUUUGUCCCUUGCUCCUGGAGGUGGCCUCUAAACUUU
rnacentral:lncRNA from 1 species